rnacentral:misc_RNA from 1 species
GGAAGUAAGAGUCGUAACAAGGUUUCCGUAGGUGAACCUGCGGAAGGAUCAUUAUUGUAUAACCGAGGUGCGAGGGCUGUCGCUGACCCGAAAGGUCGUGCACGCCCGAGUGGCCUCACACACAUCCAUCUCACCCCUAUGUGCACCACCGCGUGGGUCCCCCUUUGGCUUGUUCGGAGGGGGGCUUACGUUUUCACACAAACUUUGUAUGCAGUGUAGAAUGUAUUUUUUGUUUUUGCGAUCACGCAAUCAAUACAACUUUCAACAACGGAUCUCUUGGCUCUC